rnacentral:rRNA from 1 species
AGAGUUGAUCAUGGCUCAGGAUGAACGCUAGCGGGAGGCUUAAUACAUGCAAGUCGUACGGUAAUCUGUGCUGCAACAAGAACGAGUGGCGGAUGGGUGAGUAACGCGUACACGAUCUACCCAUAAAUCUGGGAUAGUCACUGGAAACGGUGAAUAAUAUCGGAUGAAUUUGUUAGUUUCAUGGCUUUACAAAUAAAGGCGUGAGCCGUUUAUGGAUGAGUGUGCGUCCUAUUAGUUAGUUGGUGGUGUAACGGACUACCAAGGCGAUAGGGGGUAGUAGGGGGCGUGAGAGCGUGGUCCCCCACACGGGUACUGAGACACGGACCCGACUCCUACGGGAGGCAGCAGUAAGGAAUAUUGGACAAUGGAGGCAACUCUGAUCCAGCCAUCCCGCGUGCAAGGAAGACGGCCUUAUGGGUUGUAAACUGCUUUUAUAAGGGAAGAAUAGCAUCUAUUGAUAGGUGUAUGACUGUACUUUAUGAAUAAGCACCGGCUAACUCCGUGCCAGCCGCUGC